AUGGAUAUCUGUUAUCGGUCUUUACUACUGCCGACAAAGAGACAUCUGCUCAUUCCGGAAGUAUUUCAGCAGGCGUUCAACCUCUUCACCACGUGUUCUAAGAAUGUCUCUUAAUCCUCUUCCUCCCUUUCCGUGUGGAACCAGGAAAAGAAUAUACACACACGACUAAAACGAGAUACAGGUUGCCUUAGACGGUCAUCUUUUCAGCCAACCCACUUCUGAAGCUCUGUGAUUCUACUAAACCAAAAAGGGACGGUAGGGAGGAGAAGGACGUGGUGUCUUGGUGCCUUCUUACAUGGUCAGUUUCUCUGCUGAUCUCUUCACUUCCCCGAUGGACUCAACUCUACCCCCGGACAAACGAAGAGACUGACCCCCCGGAAAGCAGAGAUGAUCUGCCGUAAUUCCACCAACUGCUCAAGGGUUAUAAGGCUUCCCUGGAGCUUAGCAGACACCUGGAAUGAUUUAUCGUUCAAUGGACUGGGCAGUAAAGAGGGCUGUCGUCCAGGAAAUCACCUCACACACCUUAAUUCAAAAGAAAGCAUCACCGACAGGAAUACAUGCACAGCCUGAUGGUCAACACUCAGUGUGCCAGACAAACCGACAGAUGAAUACUUUGCUCACUUCCAAGGUGACCGUAAGCUGGCUCAGCUUCAUCCUGGGAGGGGACGAUACGGCUCAGCCCACAGGGACCUAAUUGGGUAACUGCCACAUCAGUGUUCCGGAUGAUGGCAUUCAAAGAAGAGAACCUUCCGGAAAAACAUAGGCACAGAUCUGGAAUGAUAAUGACCCCUUUUAAGGAAAGCACCAUAGCCCUGACAUUUGUGGCAGAGAAGAACCGCCUACCCAGAAUCCUCACUCAGGCCGAAUACCUGUGGCUAAGGCUGAACAGGAAUGAGUUUUUCACUUGAUAAUGAACUAAUUUGGUGGUUCACAUUCAAAGACCAGGGAAAGAGUUCUGGACUAAGCCAAAGGACCUGGGUUCAAAUCCCAGCUCUUCAUCUGUAAAGGGCAGCUAGGUGGCGCAGUAGAUAGAGUA